rnacentral:sRNA from 1 species
UUGCGUUAGGGAUAGAAACGGAUACCGGCCUUGCGGCUAAUGCCUGCAGGCGUAUGAGUGGAUAGCCCGGCCGCAG